UACGAAGGGGGCUAGCGUUGCUCGGAAUCAUUGGGCGUAAAGGGCGCGUAGGUGGCUUCUUAAGCGUGCGGUGAAAGCCUGGGGCUCAACCCCGGGUCGGCCGUGCGAACUGGGGGGCUGGAGCACUGUAGAGGCAGGCGGAAUUCCGGGUGUAGCGGUGGAAUGCGUAGAGAUCCGGAAGAACACCGGUGGCGAAGGCGGCCUGCUGGGCAGUUGCUGACACUGAGGCGCGACAGCGUGGGGAGCAAACAGG
rnacentral:rRNA from 1 species